GGGGAGCAAUCCCUGAGUAAAGUGGCGCACGGGUGAGUAACACGUGAAUAAUCUACCUCCGAGUGGGGAAUAACUGAGAGAAAUCUUAGCUAAUACCGCAUAAUACCCACGGGUCAAAGCAGCAAUGCGCUUGGAGAGGAGUUCGCGGCCGAUUAGCUAGUUGGCGGGGUAAUGGCCCACCAAGGCGAUGAUCGGUAUCCGGCCUGAGAGGGCGCACGGACACACUGGAACUGAAACACGGUCCAGACUCCUACGGGAGGCAGCAGUGGGGAAUUUUGCGCAAUGGGGGAAACCCUGACGCAGCAACGCCGCGUGGAGGAUGAAGCCCCUUGGGGUGUAAACUCCUUUCGAUCGGGAAGAUGAUGACGGUACCGAUAUAAGAAGCCCCGGCUAACUUCGUGCCAGCAGCCGCGGUAAUACGAGGGGGGCAAGCGUUGUUCGGAAUUAUUGGGCGUAAAGGGUGCGUAGGCGGUUUGACAAGUCUGAUGUGAAAUCUAUGGGCUCAACCCAUAGUCUGCAUCGGAAACUGUCGGGCUUGAGUAUGGGAGAGGUGAGUGGAAUUUCCGGUGUAGCGGUGAAAUGCGUAGAUAUCGGAAGGAACACCUGUGGCGAA
rnacentral:rRNA from 1 species